GUGCCAGCAGCCGCGGUAAUACGUAGGUGGCAAGCGUUAUCCGGAAUUAGUGGGCGUAAAGCGCGCGUAGGCGGUUUUUUAAGUCUGAUGUGAAAGCCCACGGCUCAACCGUGGAGGGUCAUUGGAAAAUGGAAAACUUGAGUGCAGAAGAGGAAAGUGGAUUCCAUGUGUAGCGGUGAAAUGCGCAGAGAUAUGGAGGACACCAGUGGCGAAGGCGACUUUCUGGUCUUAACUGACGUGAUGUGCGGAAGCGUGGGGAUCA
rnacentral:rRNA from 1 species